rnacentral:rRNA from 1 species
UACGUAGGAUCCGAGCGUUAUCCGGAAUUAUUGGGUUUAAAGGGUGCGUAGGCGGCCAUUUAAGUCAGCGGUGAAAUUUUGCAGCUUAACUGUAACAGUGCCGUUGUUACUGUUUGGCUAGGAUUUGGUUGUAGUGUGCGGAAUGUGUGGUGUAGCGGUGAAAUGCUUAGAUAUCACACAGAACACCGAUUGCGAAGGCAGCACACUAAGUCAUUAUUGACGCUGAGGCACGAAAGUGUGGGGAUCAAACAGGAUUAGAUA